ACGAACGCUGGCGGCGUGCUUAACACAUGCCAGUCGCACGGAAAGGCCCUGCUUUUGUGGGGUGCUCGAGUGGCGAACGGGUGAGUAACACGUGAGUAACCUGCCCUUGACUUUGGGAUAACUUCAGGAAACUGGGGCUAAUACCGGAUAGGAGCUCCUGCUGCAUGGUGGGGGUUGGAAAGUUUCGGCGGUUGGGGAUGGACUCGCGGCUUAUCAGCUUGUUGGUGGGGUAGUGGCUUACCAAGGCUUUGACGGGUAGCCGGCCUGAGAGGGUGACCGGGCACCAUUGGGCUGAGAUACGGCCCAGACUCCUACGGGAGGCAGCAGUGGGGAAUAUUGCACAAUGGGCGGAAGCCUGAUGCAGCAACGCCGCGUGCGGGAUGACGGCCUUCGGGUUGUAAACCGCUUUCGCCUGUGACGAAGCGUGAGUGACGGUAAUGGGUAAAGAAGCACCGGCUAACUACGUG
rnacentral:rRNA from 1 species